rnacentral:rRNA from 1 species
GACGAACGCUGGCGGCGUGCCUAAUACAUGCAAGUAGAACGCUGAAGAGAGGAGCUCUCUUCUUGGAUGAGUUGCGAACGGGUGAGUAACGCGUAGGUAACCUGCCUGGUAGCGGGGGAUAACUAUUGGAAACGAUAGCUAAUACCGCAUAAAAUUGAUUAUUGCAUGAUAAUUAAUUGAAAGAUGCAAUUGCAUCACUACCAGAUGGACCUGCGUUGUAUUAGCUAGUUGGUGAGGUAACGGCUCACCAAGGCGACGAUACAUAGCCGACCUGAGAGGGUGAUCGGCCACACUGGGACUGAGACACGGCCCAGACUCCUACGGGAGGCAGCAGUAGGGAAUCUUCGGCAAUGGGGGGAACCCUGACCGAGCAACGCCGCGUGAGUGAAGAAGGUUUUCGGAUCGUAAAGCUCUGUUGUAAGAGAAGAACGGGUGUGAGAGUGGAAAGUUCAC